GCAAGUCGAACGAAGUCCUUCGGGACUUAGUGGCGCACGGGUGAGUAACGCAUGGGUAACUUGCCUAACAGUGGGGGACAACCACGGGAAACUGUGGCUAAUACCGCAUACGUAGUCUUGGGUAAUGCCGGGACUAGAAAGGUGGGGAUCUUCGGACCUGCCGCUGUUAGAGAGGCCCAUGUUCCAUUAGCUUGUUGGUAGGGUAAUGGCCUACCAAGGCGACGAUCAGUAGCUGGUCUGAGAGGACGAUC
rnacentral:rRNA from 1 species